CGCACAUCUGGCCCUGGCUGUCGACCCGCGGCACAGGCUUCAGCUCGUUCAGCGGGUGCUCGAAGCUCUGCAGCCCUCCAGAGGUGGUGUAGAAGCAGCCUUUGGGGAAUGGCGCAAACGAGUUCCCGCAGGAUGCCUUGAGAAGGUCAACAUUGUCAGAGAACACAAGGUGGUUCUCGGAGUCAACGCCCCAGAAGAAAGGAAUGCUACCAUCAGCAUCUGCAGCAACGAAGGUGGAUUUUGACAGAGUGUCAUACAGGAUGAACGUGAACUUCCCGCUGAGAUCUCUCACGACCUGACUAGCUGGGAGAGGGCCCCUGUCCCUGAGGGUCCUGUAGGCCUCAAUCAGGAUGGUAACCUCAGUUGCUGUCUUGCUCAGACCAUAGUGUUGCUUCAGACUGGCAAUG
rnacentral:misc_RNA from 1 species